GCUCGAAUUGAGGAUAAAAUGAACUAAUAAGUGUGUGUUCCUGUAAAACCUGCCAGAGCUGUCCUUAUUUCUAAACUCAAGAAUUAUUUUUCUCCUACUUUUUUCAAGUUUAUUUUAAAGUGUCAACCUUUUCACCUACAUCAAGCCAAGACGAGGAAAUCCCCCAUGCAGGGAAAGAUUAGGUGGGUGGAGCUGUCUCCAUUACCCCUGACAAAUUGUCUCUCUUAUGGAAAGGAUACACACAGAAAUCACACAAAGCUUUCUGAGCAGCACAGUAUCUGCAGGCUUGUCUUAAUUAUUGCAAAUCCCCUCAUCACCAUUUUAAGAUAGAUUCUGGACAACUUAAAUACUUAGCAUUCUAUUAAGAUAAUGGGAAAAAUCAAAUGUAAGGACUUUAACAAUGCCUUCCUUUAAAUAGUUUUUUUUUUUUCCCCCCGAGACAGGGUUUCUCUGUGUAGCCUUGGCUGUCCUGGAACUCACUCUGUAGACCAGGCUGGUCUCGAACUCAGAAUUCUGCCUGCCUCUGCCUCCCAAGUGCUGGGAUUAAAGGUGUGCGCCACCAUGCCUGGCUUAGAUUUUAAAUUAUAUAAUGCAUCUAGUUCUUUAUAACUCGUCAUGUGCCCAUUUCCAUUGGUUGAAGAUUAUCCCCUGCCCCACCCCACACUUUCCCCAGUGUACAAAGAGACACAGUAAACAAAAUGAAAGUAACUUAGCAUGGCAACUUACUUUUGCAAAAGACCCAAACUGAGCUAGCUGCAUACCAGUGCAGGAAGGUUGCUUGUUUCUUAUCUGAUCAUGGGGUGGUGACUGUGCCUCAGCCCACUGGUGUAAACUGGACCUCACUCACACUCUAGUGUAUUUUGUUAAGUCAAAACCUGUAUGACGUGGGAUGUUAUGAUAGAAAGUCAAAUCUUAGGAGUCCAGCAUCCAGGGUUUGGGAAAACAAAUCCAUACAUAGAAAAUUUCCAAGGUGAAGGGGGUUUAUAAAAUGCUGCCCCAGGCAGGCUAGCCAUCUUUGAUAGGAAAAACAAAACAGUUUUUCUCACAUUGUUUCCACUAGCAAUCUAUAAUGCAUACUAAGGACUUAUUGUUAAUAGUCAAGAAAAAGAAUUUUAUUCAUUAACUUUGAAAGGGGUAAAUUUCUAUAGAUAAAUUGGAUAGACUGAAUUUGGAUGCUCUUUUGUGUGACCAUUUGUGCUUCCUUUGAGGCUAGUUCAUGUGGAGGGUAUAGCUUAUGGGUGUCUAAUACAGGGUAGGAACUUUGACUAAAAGUAAGUAUAUGUAGAAGAAAGGGAAAAGUGUGUAAAUGAUUCUCCUAUUUGUACAAUAUCAACUUCUGGUUAGCUCUUGUUGCAUGUUUUGCUGAGCAUUUGAAGAAUGAUAAUACACACCUUGAUCUAUGGACACAAUGCAGACCUCAGUUCCUGGUCCUGGUCCUGGCCCUUCAGGUGUCUCUUGUCCACCUAGGUUAGAGUUUGCCUGGGAAGUGGUUCAUGUGGACAAUGCAAUGUUAUAAACAUUACAUAAGCAUCUACACGCCUAACUUAACUACAAGAAGCUCUGAGAAAUGGUUUUCCAUUUGGCUUCCCAUGAGAUAACACCAGAAAGUUUACAAAAAUGAAAAUAUGAUCAAAAUUAUUUUGGUUUAUAUGAUGUUAGCAUCAGUAUAAUGCCUUUAAGGGCUCAUGGGACAUUUUCCUGGGGUAGAGUGGUAGGGGCCAAUAAAUGUGUAAUCCUGCAAAGCCUGCAUGAGCCUAUAAGCAUUGCUGCUGCUGCUACUGUUGUCAUGAUAUCAAAUUCAAGAAUUACUUAAAUUUAGAAUAAGUUUUUUUCUUUAAGAAUGCAACUAAGAUCUUCCAUGUCUCUUUUUAAGGUACUAGAAAACAUGAAUUACGAGGGUUACCCCAAAACCUACAGAUUCAGAAUUAUCUCAGAAAAUCUAGGAGAGGGAUUCAAGGAACUAUGUUGGUUUUUUUUUUUUUUUAUGUAUUGUUACACAUAUUUUUGGAGACAAGUUCUCACGGUGUAGACUAGAAUUGUUUCUAACUCAAGAUUUACCUGUCUCAGGUUCGCCAUUGCUAGGAUUUCAGCUGUGUAGAAUGGCUUACUUCAGGUAGGGUGACCAUGGUGUAGUAAAGCCAAUCACCUAAUUUUCCCUAUCAUUUUUAUGAUGAGACAUUUGAAAUUACUGUCUUAAGGGUCAAAGUAUAUAUUGCAUCAUUAUUGAAUAUAGUCAACUUGGAGCCUAUUACUCUAAAAGAAAUAAUCAAGGCACAAAGGACAAACACAAAUCUGCCCAUUUUAUACACAAGCUCUUGAUAAACUUAAUUUCAUGGAGGUAAAGUAUAGAAAGAUGACUACAAGAGAAUGGGCUUAGACUAAAGGUGAAGGUGGGUAGACGCUGUUGAUCAAAGGGUACAGAAUUAUAUGCAAAGAAGAGGAACAAAUUUUAAGGAAUCAAUGUGUUACCAAUCAGUUCAAAUUAUUCUGAUUUACAAUUAAGAUUGAGAACAACCUCAUUUUGAAUAGUACUGAAAACCUCAAUCAGGCAUUGUAAUUUGCUUCCACUCAAUUAAGUAACUACCUAGUACUUUAUGGUACAUGUGUAGACCCUGACUGAGCUCAUCUAUAUUCUUCCAAAGUCAAGAUCCUUCUGAAUUUCCUGGCUCUUAUGAUAGCAAGAGGAUUCCGACCAAUAUUCAGGCAUUGUGUGUGUGUGUGUGUGUGUGUGUGUGUGUGUGUGUGUGUGUCAGUGUGCCAGUGUGUCUGUGUGUUUCUGUGUUCUUAUGUGUAUUUCUGAUAACCGAAACUAGUGCCUUGAACAUGCUAUUUAAACACGCUACUACUGUAUUGUUGCAAAGUAUGAAUGUCUUUAGCCUCCUAUGAGCAAAAUGCUAUGCUAAACCCCAAGUGACUCAUGAAUGUUGUUGUAUGAAUUAACAGUCCUAAUAACUUAACACUGAAUGCAUGCACUAUGACACAUGACUAAUCACAGCUAAUGGGACAAAGAGUUCAAUGUACUACUACUUCAGUAUAUACCAAGUUAAAAGCCAACCUGGACUAUACAAUACCUUAUCUCUAGAAAAGAAGCAAAUAUAAACAAAACAAAGCAAAAAUGUAUGGAUAUGAAUGUGUUUUCAAAAAAUUAAUUUAAAGACUUAGAAAUAACAAAAGACAUGACUGGCUUUAUAGAGACAUGACUUGUUUACAGCAGAGAAUCUUAAAGAAUUUUCUUUACAUCUUAUUUGGUUAUCUGAUCUCUAAUCACUCCCUUAUUCUGAUGAAAUGAAAACACAGUAGUCUUUUGAACAUGGGCUGACCAAAGUAUCCUGGCAUACAUUGGUUCAAAUCAUGUAGAAGGCAAAGAAACAAACUCAUAUAUUUAUGGGAUUCUAUAAGGAGUUCUUUUAAAGGGAUAAGACUGAAUACCAGGCAGACUGUGGCUUAUAGCUGGUAUUACUGGAAGUUUAUAUGCAGCUUAAAACACUUUAACCACAUCAUCUCUCCCUUUCCUAUUCUGCCUUCAACCACCCCCACCCCAUAUCCCCAACCUUGUUCUUUUUUAAAUUUAUAGUAAGGCAUCUUUUAGACACUAAUGGUGUUGGAAGGCAGGACAGGUAACAACAGAACAGGAACAAAUGACUUUGUCAUUUAGAACAUCACAGAGUCCUUUAAAUAUUAACAUUCAAAACUGAGUUUUGGACAAUGUGGCUCAGGUCUAUUAAUGGAAAAAAAAAAAAAAAAGAGAUCAUUGAUUUGAAAACGACCAAAGAAUUAGGAGGUAGAAGGCUUAAGAUGAAAAUUAUGUAACUGUGUUAUAAUUCCUCCCCAAAGGGUUGACUGGGGAAACAAGAAAGGGAGAAAUGCAAAUAAAACAACAGACUCAGAAAAGAUUUAUAAUGAGAGCAGUACACUUAGAUUGAGGAACAGUGCCCAAAUAUAAUACAAAGAAUAUAAUAAAAAUCUUAGAAAUGUGAGUUUGAGGUAGUCAAAUACUUAGUAAUAUAUACAAUAUGUUUUGUUUUGUUUUUUUUAACGUGGAGGAACAUCCAGAUGUUUUCAUCAUCUUGCUUUAGUGUCUAGUGUGCUGGGAUUUUUUCACACUAGUACUACCAUAUCUAGCCUUUUAAAUUCAGCAUUGAUCACAAAGGGAUUUGAGAAGAGGAACUUAAAGGAGCAAAGAGAGAGAAAAUGGCAGCCAAUCCCAUUGAGAUUUCAACAAUAAAUCCAGAAAGGAAAGAUGCAUGACAGAAGACAGCAGACAAAGGGAUUAGAAAGCUUGACAGGGCCACAGACACAGCUGUGAAUGUAGGACUUAGAUCUCGGUACUAAUCAGAUUAGUGAAGAAAAUCCCCUACAGUCCAUAUUUCCUAUUUUCUAAUGUUCAAGAUUAACCCUGUAUGUUACUCGUCUGCAUUGUGGGGAGAGAGGCACAGUGCCUCUCGGAGGUCACCUAACUACACAUCCACAGGAAAGUCAGUUCUCCCUUCAGACACCUUAGCAUUUAACUUGAAGGAUGUGCUAGAAUCCUUGGAUAUGAUUAUUGGCGUUCAGAUGUUUAUCCUUGGAAAAGUGUCACAUCCAGAAAGGCAGAGGGGAAGAAUCGAUGGUGGUGGAUGUUCUUGCUACCAGGAUUCACCUGCUUCUCUACAGGGUUCCCUGGGAAGUGGAAUUGGCAGAGGCCAGUUGAAUUGGGAAAAUAUAUCCUUCUUAGAGACUCAAAAAUAAUAAUAUUGUCUUAGAAAGAGACCAUGAUGAUUCACGAUACACAUACUGCAGAGGAAAUAGGGGAAAUUUUUCACAUAUCCACAAGGAUAGUUAACUGGUACCUACUGAGUGACACCAGUACAACACAUUAGAAAGUGAAAAAUCUAUCCCAUUUACUCAUUUAAUCGAUAUUUACAUCAGACCAACAUCUCAGUCUGGCUCCUUGUGAACACAUUUUAACUAUCUUUUCUACUUUAAGAGCAAGCCAGACUUCUGAAUUCAGGAAAACAAACGUUAAAUUGAAAUUCAGUCUCUCCUUUUUGAUGCUAGUGAAAAUAUCUCCACAUUUCCUGACCUUCCUGUUUGGUUGGAUAGACAUCCCUACUGCUUCUUUGAAUCUUUUCCACUCUGCCUCUGUCCAGCCUUUAUCAUAGAUUCACAGGGUAUAUGGUUUAUUGGCAAUAUUUUUAUAUCAAAUUAGAACAUUAAAAGAAAUCUCGGAAUUUUUAAGACAAAACUAGUAGUUCCUUUUAGCUAUAUACCAUGGACAUCUUUACGUAUUAAAGGCACAUGAACACUGAAUAUUAUAGGUUACCUAGGAAACCCGCAGUGGCUACACUUAAAAACAACACAGAGCUUCCAUGACUGAGGAUGAAUACCAUUUUUAAAAACUCUAUUUUGGGGAUGGUAAAAGGAAUAGUUAACACGUGGAGAUCAGCACACGGCUACCUCUUUAUUUAGGCUUUCCUUCUCUUUAUUAUCCUUCAUGUCUUUGUCUGCUAGAGUUGCUGUUAAGAGAAGUAAAACCUAUAUAUAACAACCGAUCAAGAGCGAUGUUCUUUAUUAGCCAUGACCCCAUCCGCAGGAUGUAAUAGUUUGGACUCCCCCAAAAACAGGAAAGGUAAUUGUUAAUUUUUAGAUCUUUUGCAUUCACUGAUGUGAGGAGACUGUGUUAGUGGCUUUGUGUGUCCAUAACAAAAUGCAUGCCUGCAUAUAUAGGCAUGUAGUAGUUACUGUUGCUCAUCAUUUCAGCACAUAAUGGUGCUUGAGUAUAGUAGAAUAACUCAUGGCAAACCUUCCAGAGACAGAGAGGGAAGAAUCCUACAUCAAGUGGUUUUCUCUUAUGUAGCCCUGGUCUACUGGCUGACCCCACCCAUUCUGAAAGCUACCAAUUGAGAUGUGCUUUCCCAACCUCCUAUGUGAUUCCAAUCCAAUCAUGUGACAAUCUUUUUUUUCCAUCAAUGCAUGUACAUGUGUGUACAUUCAUGAGUUAAUUAUAGGUAACCAAGGAAGCAUGAUGAGGGCAUCAGAUAACUUGGAACUGGAGUUACAGGCAGCUAUGAAUUGUGUUCCAUUCCAUUGGAAUGGAAACCCCUGGUCAUAUGCAAAGGCAGUAUGUGUUCUUAACCCUUGAGCUAUCUCUUUAACUUUGACAAUUAGUUUUGAUUCAAGAUAAAUCUUCUCACUGACCAUCUAUCCUGCAUGCCUAAUUUAAUCAUAGUGGAUGAUAGUGGAAAAUUAUGAAUGGUUCACCAUUUUACUUUCCAAUUUUCUCAGCUUGAAUAUUUGUCUUAAUUAAAUGUCCACUGCAUACAAACUAUAUUGAGGAAUAUAAAUUCGAGUUGGGAUAAUACCUGGAGAGCUGAAAAAGAACAGCCUAACUGACAAAUACCAAUUGCAGUGUGCAAUUUUAAUACUUUACAUUAUUUACUACUGAAAUAAUACAGUCCUGUUAUAUCAUUCACUAUCACAAAAAUAACUAAAAAUUUCCUUUCAAAUUCUCCUCCUGAGGUAAUAAAUUAUGCCAAAAACGCACAUCUUCACAGCUCAUAAAAUGAAGAGAUAAAGUCAACGCAGAGUGAGAUGUAUUUCUGAAAGCCCGUAGCAUCUUAUUAGCUAUGAGUCAAGGUCACCUUGACUACAGCUAGUCCUAGAAGCACCACUGAGAAAAUGCCUGAGGCUAGAACUUGGUCAGAUAAUCUGAGAGCUGUUGCAGUGUUUUCUGAAAACCAAUUACCAAGUCCUUUAUUACUACAGGCAAAGUGUGGAGCUUUUCUGUGUCUAAAGGAGUCAUAGGGCCAGAGCUCUGUACAAAGAGGCCUAGGAAGCAUGUUUGCCUGGUGAUGCUGAUGAUAGAGAGUCAGACAAUGACGCCAUCUAUCCAAAACCCACAUUUCUCACUUAAAACCUACUUGUUAGGUUUCAAACCUGGAACAACUGGAUGUGGUGCCUAUUUAACAUAUCAAAUUACCUGGCCAACUGGCUCUCCCAGCAUUCCUACCUGUUGUAGGGCCCUCCUGACUAGUAUACCUUGACCCCUACCCUGAACUCUGUAGCCCCGGAGGCUGAGCUACCCUUCCCAAUAUUAUCUAAACAUAUUGGUUACCUGCCCCUUUCUUCUACUCAUUGGCCUCCUGGCUGCUGUGUCAGGUCUCCUUCUUUCUCCCCUCCCCACCCCUCCCUCCUCCUCUUUUCGUCACAUGGCUCAAGGUCAUGUCCUCUCUGAACUCUCCCAGAUGUUUCUGACACUGGCUCUGUUCUCUCACAGAUGUACAAUAAACUCCACCAUCUCUAGGAGCAGGUACCUCCUUUCUUUUUUAAUUUCUUUUUGAAAUCACUUUUUUUUCCUCACCAACCCUCUGUGUUAUGCAGUAAAUAGAAAUUAUGCAAAUAUGAUAAUGCAAGUAAAGAAGACAUCUUAAAGAUGAAAUCUCAAGCCUACUGUGUUUCAGUUGUAUGUGUUUAAUUCUCUAAGGCUUGAUUGUCUUCCUUUUGCAGUGAUUAGUUAUAAUUAUAAUCCUGCCUCCAAGAUUUGUUAAGUGGAAAUAAAAAGGAAAAAGGUGAAGUACCUGAGAUGAUGUCAAUCAAACAUGAGUGUGAAGCUGAAUUCUGAGCAGUAGACUAUGCUGGCGGUGACCAAGGAUAGCAUCCUUGAUGAAGCCCUUCCUUGCAAUGUCUUCCUUUCCUCUGCAGUCUACGUCGGCAGGUCAAUAUACCUGAUGCAUGUACUACAAGGAGGGUCCAGACAAUAAAACUGCAGCUGCUUCAAUUUCCAGCCUGUCAAAUCAGGAACAUGGAGCCUCACUGGAGGGGGUGAUUACUCUCACAUACACAGUUUGCUGUGUUUCCAAGAAGCAAGUAUGUGAAGCUGACUUUGAAAAAUUGUGUGACAUUUUAAUGUUAGAUGAUUCAGGGAAAAAAGACACAUCCAAAUUGUCUGAGAAUCAGGUUGCUCAGAUCGGGAAAACAAAAACAUAUUUUCUCUUGAGCAAUUGUUAAUUUUAAUGAGCAAUUGUUAAUUUUAAUGAGAAUUUAUGUGAUACUGACCUGGAAUUUCACACGGAAAAACAGUAAUCAUUGCGUUUUAUCCUGUAUUUUUUUUUUUAUUGUCCUAAACAUAAAGGCCUCCCUCUGUGAAAUUUAAAUAGGACAG